GCCUGUCUUUCUGUUGUGAAGGAUAUUGCUGACCUUCAGGGCAUAAUGGUCCAUGUCUUUAAUUCAUAUGUGACAGUGACUUGGUUGCCACCCUUGUGCGCAGACCCAAUCUGCAAUGUUCCUGAAAAUCUAGCAAGUCAUG